rnacentral:rRNA from 1 species
UACAGAGGGUGCAAGCGUUGUUCGGAAUUAUUGGGCGUAAAGCGCGUGUAGGCGGCUUGGCAAGUCGGGUGUGAAAGCCCUCAGCUCAACUGAGGAAGUGCGCCCGAAACUGCUUGGCUUGAGUACCGGAGAGGAUGGUGGAAUUCCCCAAGUAGAGGUGAAAUUCGUAGAUAUGGGGAGGAACACCGGUGGCGAAGGCGACCAUCUGGACGGAUACUGACGCUGAGACGCGAAAGCGUGGGUAGCAAACAGG